GCGGCGGACGGGUGAGUAAUGCUUAGGAAUCUGCCUAUUAGUGGGGGACAACAUUCCGAAAGGAAUGCUAAUACCGCAUACGUCCUACGGGAGAAGGCAGGGGAUCUUCGGACCUUGCGCUAAUAGAUGAGCCUAAGUCGGAUUAGCUAGUUGGUGGGGUAAAGGCCUACCAAGGCGACGAUCUGUAGCGGGUCUGAGAGGAUGAUCCGCCACACUGGGACUGAGACACGGCCCAGACUCCUACGGGAGGCAGCAGUGGGGAAUAUUGGACAAUGGGGGGAACCCUGAUCCAGCCAUGCCGCGUGUGUGAAGAAGGCCUUAUGGUUGUAAAGCACUUUAAGCGAGGAGGAGGCUACUGAGACUAAUACUCUUGGAUAGUGGACGUUACUCGCAGAAUAAGCACCGGCUAACUCUGUGCCAGCAGCCACGGUAAUACAGAGGGUGCGAGCGUUAAUCGGAUUUACUGGGCGUAAAGCGUGCGUAGGCGGCUUUUUAGGUCGGAUGUGAAAUCCCCGAGCUUAACUUGGGAAUUACAUUCGAUACUGGGAAGCUAGAGUAUGGGAGAGGAUGGUAGAAUUCCAGGUGUAGCGGUGAAAUGCGUAGAGAUCUGGAGGAAUACCGAUGGCGAAGGCAGCCAUCUGGCCUAAUACU
rnacentral:rRNA from 1 species